rnacentral:rRNA from 1 species
UACGUAGGGUGCAAGCGUUGUCCGGAAUUAUUGGGCGUAAAGAGCUCGUAGGCGGUCUGUCGCGUCGGCUGUGAAAACCCGGAGCUCAACUCCGGGCCUGCAGUCGAUACGGGCAGACUGGAGUUCGGCAGGGGAGACUGGAAUUCCUGGUGUAGCGGUGAAAUGCGCAGAUAUCGUUUGGAACGCCAAAGGUGAAAACAGACAGCUGGGAGUGUGCUGACGCUGAGACACGAAAGCCAGGGGAGCGAACGGG